GCGGGUAUCGUAUAGUGGCUAUUACACCUGGUUGCCAAUCAGGAGACAGGGGUUCGACUCCCCUUACCCGCU
rnacentral:tRNA from 1 species